rnacentral:rRNA from 1 species
AGUGAACGCUGGCGGUAGGCCUAACACAUGCAAGUCGAACGGCAGCACAGAGGAGCUUGCUCCUUGGGUGGCGAGUGGCGGACGGGUGAGGAAUACAUCGGAAUCUACUCUGUCGUGGGGGAUAACGUAGGGAAACUUACGCCAAUACCGCAUACGACCUACGGGUGAAAGCAGGGGACCUUCGGGCCUUGCGCGAUUGAAUGAGCCGAUGUCGGAUUAGCUAGUUGGCGGGGUAAAGGCCCACCAAGGCGACGAUCCGUAGCUGGUCUGAGAGGAUGAUCAGCCACACUGGAACUGAGACACGGUCCAGACUCCUACGGGAGGCAGCAGUGGGGAAUAUUGGACAAUGGGCGCAAGCCUGAUCCAGCCAUACCGCGUGGGUGAAGAAGGCCUUCGGGUUGUAAAGCCCUUUUGUUGGGAAAGAAAUCCAGCUGGCUAAUACCCGGUCGGGAUGACGGUACCCAAAGAAUAAGCACCGGCUAACUUCGUGCCAGCAGCCGCCGUAA